AUUGAACGCUGGCGGCAGGCCUAACACAUGCAAGUCGAGCGGAUGAGAAGAGCUUGCUCUUCGAUUCAGCGGCGGACGGGUGAGUAAUGCCUAGGAAUCUGCCUGGUAGUGGGGGACAACGUUUCGAAAGGAACGCUAAUACCGCAUACGUCCUACGGGAGAAAGCAGGGGACCUUCGGGCCUUGCGCUAUCAGAUGAGCCUAGGUCGGAUUAGCUAGUUGGUGAGGUAAUGGCUCACCAAGGCGACGAUCCGUAACUGGUCUGAGAGGAUGAUCAGUCACACUGGAACUGAGACACGGUCCAGACUCCUACGGGAGGCAGCAGUGGGGAAUAUUGGACAAUGGGCGAAAGCCUGAUCCAGCCAUGCCGCGUGUGUGAAGAAGGUCUUCGGAUUGUAAAGCACUUUAAGUUGGGAGGAAGAGCAUUAACCUAAUACGUUAGUGUUUUGACGUUACCGACAGAAUAAGCACCGGCUAACUCUGUGCCAGCCGCCGCGGUAA
rnacentral:rRNA from 1 species